rnacentral:rRNA from 1 species
UACGAAGGGGGCUAGCGUUGCUCGGAAUCACUGGGCGUAAAGCGCACGUAGGCGGCUUUCUAAGUCAGGGGUGAAAUCCUGGAGCUCAACUCCAGAACUGCCUUUGAUACUGGAGAGCUUGAGUCCGGAAGAGGUGAGUGGAACUCCGAGUGUAGAGGUGAAAUUCGUAGAUAUUAGGAAGAACACCAGUGGCGAAGGCGGCUCACUGGUCCGGUACUGACGCUGAGGUGCGAAAGCGUGGGGAGCAAACAGG